AUUGAACGCUGGCGGCAGGCUUAACACAUGCAAGUCGAGCGGAGCGAGGGUGCUUGCACCUUAGCUUAGCGGCGGACGGGUGAGUAAUGCUUAGGAAUCUGCCUAUUAGUGGGGGACAACAUUCCGAAAGGGAUGCUAAUACCGCAUACGCCCUACGAGGGAAAGCAGGGGAUCUUCGGACCUUGCGCUAAUAGAUGAGCCUAAGUCGGAUUAGCUAGUUGGUGGGGUAAAGGCCUACCAAGGCGACGAUCUGGAGCGGGUCUGAGAGGAUGAUCCGCCACACUGGGACUGAGACACGGCCCAGACUCCUACGGGAGGCAGCAGUGGGGAAUAUUGGACAAUGGGGGGAACCCUGAUCCAGCCAUGCCGCGUGUGUGAAGAAGGCCUUUUGGUUGUAAAGCACUUUAAGCGAGGAGGAGGCGCUCUAGGAUAAUACCCUAGAUGCGUGGACGUUACCCGCAGAAUAAGCACCGGCUAACUCUGUGCCAGCAGCCGCAGUAAUAC
rnacentral:rRNA from 1 species